UCAAAAGCGAUGAAAAAGAAGAGUAAGUAAUUUCCAAUCUACCAGUGAGUCGGUGAUAGUGAGAGACCGAUAGCACCUGAAUUACCGAAAAACACUUUUCCCAUGCUACUAACCCAAAUAACCCGUCUUAAAGUAGGCUUAGUCGUCACCGGUACGUUACCACGCCGGAAGAGUAUGAAAGUACUCUAUGAGAAGGUCUAAAAAUAUUUUAGGCAAUUUGGGUGGUACCGCGGAACAAAAGCCUUUCGUCCCUUAG
rnacentral:ncRNA from 1 species